rnacentral:hammerhead_ribozyme from 1 species
GUACCGAUGAGGAGUCCAAAAGUAGGACGAAACAGCUGUCCAGUAC